rnacentral:lncRNA from 1 species
UACACUAUUGUUGGGUCAUCCAUGUAAACACUGCUCUGCUGGGCAACAGUAGGCUGCAGUUCAGGUAGCCCAGGAGCCACUCCCAGCGCCCCAUAUGGUCAUAUUAUAUUGAGAUGGGCAAAGAUUUAACUACCUGUGAGAUGAGCUAUGCCACUGCCCCAGGGCAAGGAACUGGCACUGUUCACAUUUUACUAAUAAGAACACAGGGAGUGUCUUACAGCACUGGGAAAGACAAAGCAAUUCAUCAGUCACGUGCAUUAAACCAGAGAAGACUUCUCAGAUCAGCAAUGGCAUGAGAGGGAUACUGCUUACAGCAGAGAAACUGUGGUUACAGAGAUCUCUUGGAAGAGGACUAAUACUUGAGCAAAACCCAGCAAGAGAGGGAAACCCCCCUUUCCUCAUGAGCAGGUUCCAAGGUUUCCACAUGCGCUUGCUAGCACUGGAAUGCCCUGAGGACAAGCAGUA